rfam:Paenibacillus sp. HGF7 contig00132, whole genome shotgun sequence.
CUUAAAUUUACAACCAAGGAUGGGAAUGAUGGAACCAUGUAUCCCGAAACCAUCCCGCCAAUACUCCUGCGCGCGUCAUGACUAACAGGUCAUGGGGUGUGAAGUACAGGUAGAUUCGACAGAACGAAGGCUGGAGCCAAUUUUUUAAAAAAGGUAUGCCAACGGAUAUGUCGCGCGGCUGAAAA